CAGAUAUUUUUCUUAACCAUCCUUUUCUCGAGGACGAGUAAAAGCCUAAGUAUGGGGGUGUUUGUUGACGGUUCUUAAGUAUCAAUUUUAAUUAUCAAAUAAACAAGGAAAAUGACCAAUAUACAAACAACACCAAGAACUAGGGUUUGAUCUGACAGAAUUCCAUGAGUUUUGUUGUUAUCUUUUUCUACAGGGGGUUAUUAGGAAAUAUGGAAGAAAGACCCACA
rnacentral:lncRNA from 1 species